CCUACGGGUGGCUGCAGUGGGGAAUAUUGGACAAUGGGCGAAAGCCUGAUCCAGCCAUGCCGCGUGUGUGAAGAAGGCCUUCGGGUUGUAAAGCACUUUCAGUGGGGAAGAAAGCCUUGGGGCUAAUACCCUCGAGGAAGGACAUCACCCACAGAAGAAGCACCGGCUAACUCCGUGGCAGCAGCCGCGGUAAUACGGAGGGUGCGAGCGUUAAUCGGAAUUACUGGGCGUAAAGCGCGCGUAGGCGGUCUGAUAAGCCGGUUGUGAAAGCCCCGGGCUCAACCUGGGAACGGCAUCCGGAACUGUCAGGCUAGAGUGCAGGAGAGGAAGGUAGAAUUCCCGGUGUAGCGGUGAAAUGCGUAGAGAUCGGGAGGAAUACCAGUGGCGAAGGCGGCCUUCUGGACUGACACUGACGCUGAGGUGCGAAAGCGUGGGUAGCAAACAGGAUUAGAUACCCCAGUAGUC
rnacentral:rRNA from 1 species